AAGCGGUGGAGCAUGUGGUUUAAUUCGAAAGCAACGCGCAGAACCUUACCAGCCCUUGACAUCCCGGUCGCGGGUACCAGAGAUGGAACCCUUCAGUUCGGCUGGACCGGAGACAGGUGCUGCAUGGCUGUCGUCAGCUCGUGUCGUGAGAUGUUGGGUUAAGUCCCGCAACGAGCGCAACCCUCGCCCUUAGUUGCCAUCAUUAAGUUGGGCACUCUAAGGGGACUGCCGGUGAUAAGCCGGAGGAAGGUGGGGAUGACGUCAAGUCCUCAUGGCCCUUACGGGCUGGGCUACACACGUGCUACAAUGGCGGUGACAGAGGGACGCAAAGGAGCAAUCCUUCGCAAAUCUCAAAAAGCCGUCUCAGUUCGGAUUGGGGUCUGCAACUCGACCCCAUGAAGUUGGAAUCGCUAGUAAUCGCAGAUCAGCACGCUGCGGUGAAUACGUUCCCGGGCCUU
rnacentral:rRNA from 1 species